CUUCUCUCAAGGGAGGGGGGUGAAAUAUUUUCUAAUAUGUUUUGAAUAAGAGGGGAGGGGAGUGUAUAUUUUAACAUAAGAGGGGAGGGGAGUGUAAUUCAAGCAUCUUUGAGGGGAGGGGAGUGUAAUUUACUCUUAUUAUUAUUAUUAUUAUUAUUAUUAUAAUUAUUUUUUUUAUUUUUUUAUUUUUUUUAUUAGGUUAUAUUAUCCUUGUAACAACUUUUAUUCCAUAUUAUUAACAACUUUUCU
rnacentral:lncRNA from 1 species